ACACGGGGGGGGCAAGCGUUGUCCGGAAUUAUUGGGCGUAAAGGGCGCGUAGGCGGGCUGAUCAGUCCGAGGUGAAAGUUUUCGGCUCAACCGGGAAAUUGCCUUGGAUACUGUCAGUCUUGAGUUCGGAAGAGGGAAGUGGAAUUCCUGGUGUAGCGGUGAAAUGCGUAGAUAUCAGGAAGAACACCGGUGGCGAAGGCGGCUUCCUGGUCCGAAACUGACGCUGAGGCGCGAAAGCGUGGGGAGCGAACAGGAUUAGAAACCCUAGUAGUCC
rnacentral:rRNA from 1 species